GAUGAACGCUGGCGGCGUGCCUAAUACAUGCCAGUCGAGCGAACAGACGAGGAGCUUGCUACUCUGACGUUAGCGGCGGACGGGUGAGUAACACGUGGAUAACCUACCUAUAAGACUGGGAUAACUUCGGGAAACCGGAGCUAAUACCGGAUAAUAUAUUGAACCGCAUGGUUCAAUAGUGAAAGACGGUUUUGCUGUCACUUAUAGAUGGAUCCGCGCCGCAUUAGCUAGUUGGUAAGGUAACGGCUUACCAAGGCAACGAUGCGUAGCCGACCUGCGAGGGUGAACGGCCACACUGGAACUGAGACACGGUCCACACGCCUACGGGAGGGAGCCAUAGGGAAUCUUCCGCAAUGGGCGAAAGCCUGACCGCGGAACGCCGCGUGAGGGAUGAAGGUCUUCGGAUCGUAAAACGCGGCUAUUAGGGAAGAACAAUUGUGUAACUAACUAUGCACGUCUUGAAGGUACCUAAUAAGAAAGCCACGGCUAACUACGUG
rnacentral:rRNA from 1 species